CAUUCGAUUUCAACCUUCAACAUUCGAUUUCAACAUUCAACAUUCGAUUUCAACAUUCAACAUUCGAUUUCAACAUUCGAUUUUCAACUUUCAACAUUCGUUUUCAACAUUCAAUAUUCGUUUUCAACAUUCGAUUUUCCACUUUCAACAUUCGUUUUCAACAUUCAACAUUCGUUUUCAAAAUUCGAUUUUCAACUUUCAACAUUC
rnacentral:lncRNA from 1 species